rnacentral:rRNA from 1 species
CCUACGGGAGGCAGCAGUGAGGAAUAUUGGUCAAUGGACGAGAGUCUGAACCAGCCAAGUAGCGUGAAGGAUGACUGCCCUAUGGGUUGUAAACUUCUUUUAUAUGGGAAUAAAAUGUUCCACGUGUGGGAUUUUGUAUGUACCAUAUGAAUAAGGAUCGGCUAACUCCGUGCCAGCAGCCGCGGUAAUACGGAGGAUCCGAGCGUUAUCCGGAUUGAUUGGGUUUAAAGGGAGCGUAGGUGGAUUGUUAAGUGAGUUGUGAAAGUUUGCGGCUCAACCGUAAAAGUGCAGUUGAAACUGGCAGUCUUGAGUACAGUAGAGGUGGGCGGAAUUCGUGGUGUAGCGGUGAAAUGCUUAGAUAUCACGAAGAACUCCGAUUGCGAAGGCAGCUCACUGGACUGCAACUGACACUGAGGCUCGAAAGUGUGGGUAUCAAACAGGAUUAGAUACCCCUGUAGUC